GAUGAACGCUGGCGGCGUGCCUAAUACAUGCAAGUCGAGCGAACAGACGAGGAGCUUGCUCCUCUGACGUUAGCGGCGGACGGGUGAGUAACACGUGGAUAACCUACCUAUAAGACUGGGAUAACUUCGGGAAACCGGAGCUAAUACCGGAUAAUAUAUUGAACCGCAUGGUUCAAUAGUGAAAGACGGUUUUGCUGUCACUUAUAGAUGGAUCCGCGCCUCAUUAGCUAGUUGGUAAGGUAACGGCUUACCAAGGCAACGAUGCGUAGCCGACCUGAGAGGGUGAUAGGCCACACUGGAACUGAGACACGGUCCAGACUCCUACGGGAGGCAGCAGUAGGGAAUCUUCCGCAAUGGGCGAAAGCCUGACGGAGCAACGCCGCGUGAGUGAUGAAGGUCUUCGGAUCGUAAAACUCUGUUAUUAGGGAAGAACAAAUGUGUAAGUAACUAUGCACGUCUUGACGGUACCUAAUCAGAAAGCCACGGCUAACUACGUG
rnacentral:rRNA from 1 species